rnacentral:misc_RNA from 1 species
GAUGAAGAACGUAGCGAAAUGCGAUAAGUAGUGUGAAUUGCAGAAUUCAGUGAAUCAUCGAAUCUUUGAGCGCACAUUGCGCCCCUUGGUAUCCCGAGGGGCAUGCCUGUUCGAGCGUCAUUUCACCACUCAAGCCUGGCUUGGUGUUGGGCGACGUCCCCUUUGGGGACGCGCCUCGAAACGCUCGGCGGCGUGGCACCGGCUUUAAGCGUAGCAGAAUCUUUCGCUUUGGAAGUCGGGGCCCCGUCUGCCGGAAGACCUACUCGCAAGGUUGACCUCGGAUCAGGCAGGGAUACCCGCUGAACUUAAGCAUAUCAAUAAGCGGAGGA